UGCCAAGAGAUGAGUCAUCCCUGACUUUAAGUCAGUAAGGGUUGUUGUAGACUACGACGUAGAUAGGUCUGGUGUGUAAGUGUAGUGAUACAUUGAGCUAACAGAUACUAAUUGCCCGAGAGGCUUAGCUAUACAACGCUCAAG
rnacentral:rRNA from 1 species